GACGUAGGGCGCGAGCGUUGUCCGGGUUUAUUGGGCGUAAAGAGCUCGUAGGCGGCUUGUCGCGUCGGCUGUGAAAACCCGCGGCUCAACUGUGGGCGGGCAGCUGAUACGGGCAGGCUGGAGUUCGGUAGGGGAGACUGGAAUUCCUGGUGUAGCGGUGAAAUGCGCAGAUAUCAGGAGGAACACCGGUGGCGAAGGCGGGUCUCUGGGCCGAUACUGACGCUGAGGAGCGAAAGCGUGGGGAGCGAACAGG
rnacentral:rRNA from 1 species